UCCCUGAUAGCUCAGUUGGUAAAGAAUCUGCCUGCAAUGCAGGAGACCCUGGUUCGAUUCCCGGGUUGGGAA
rnacentral:tRNA from 1 species